rnacentral:rRNA from 1 species
UACGUAGGGCGCAAGCGUUGUCCGGAAUUAUUGGGCGUAAAGAGCUCGUAGGCGGUUUGUCGCGUCUGUCGUGAAAGCCCACAGCUUAACUGUGGGUCUGCGGUGGAUACGGGCAGACUAGAGGCAGGUAGGGGAGAACGGAAUUCCCGGUGUAGCGGUGAAAUGCGCAGAUAUCGGGAGGAACACCGGUGGCGAAGGCGGUUCUCUGGGCCUGUACUGACGCUGAGGAGCGAAAGCGUGGGUAGCAAACAGG